AUUACAUCUAUUGGUGUUUGCUUCAAAAUGGAAGAGUCAACUUCAUCAACAACAAAGAUCUCUCAACAAGAAUCGCCGCUUCAUCUUUUGCACUCCUCCUGUAUCCAAGAAAACAAGGUACAGCCAGUUAAUGAUAACAAUAAUAAUGAACUUAAUAAUCAAUUUAAAGAAAACCCAUUGAAGGAUUUAACUGAAAUCGGUGGAUAAAACCCAGCAAAAAGUUUCGAACUUUGUAACUCAGUUAACUGGGUUUGUUGUACAGGGAACGCUGGACAACUUCGGACAAGGACCCUGAACCCACUUUGAUUUUUUUCAGUGAAUGAACCUUAAGUUAGUGGAAAAUUUGUGAACUUUGUUGAGUAAUUAAUGUGACCCAGAUGAUUAUGAACUGAAUUUCUUGCCAAUUUUGCCAUGAUAAAAUGAGAACUUUCUGAACUUGUAUUUUCCCAGUACAUGUCAUGAACAAAUGACUUCA
rnacentral:lncRNA from 1 species